UGGAAGGAAAUGUUUUGGUAUGAUCUUAUUUUAUGUUGGCAUGAAUUGGUAAGGUUUAUAAAUAGGAAAAUGUUGAUAUUGUUAUGAUAUAAAUGAUGAAUGUUUUCGCAUAAAAUUGGUUGAAAUAGUGGUGCAUAUAUGCUUGUUUCUUUGCUUGUAGGCUGACCCAAAUUUGGGGUGGCAAAUUGGCUAUUCAAAU
rnacentral:lncRNA from 1 species